GACGAACGCUGGCGGCGUGCUCAACACAUGCAAGUCGAACGAAGUGGCGAGCGGGUGAGUAAUACGCGGGUAACCUGCCCUCCCCGCUGGGAUAAGCCUUGGAAACGGGGUCAAAUACCGCAUACAGGGGGAUGGUCCGGCGGCCAAUCAGCUUGUUGGUGGGGUGAUGGCCUCUCAAGGCGGUGACGGGUAGCCGGCCUGAGAGGGUGACCGGCCACAUGGGGACGGUGAUACGGCCCAGACUGCUACCGGAGGCAGCAGUGGGGGAUGUUGCACAAGGGGCAAAAGCCUGAUGCAGCGACGCCGCGUGGGGGAGGAAGACUUUCGGGUUGUAAACCUCUUACGCUAUCGAACGCGAAGGUGUAGAAGAAGCGCCGGCUAACUAAGUGCCAGCAGCCGCGGUAAUUC
rnacentral:rRNA from 1 species